rnacentral:rRNA from 1 species
AUUGAACGCUGGCGGCAUGCCUUACACAUGCAAGUCGAACGGCAGCACGGGAGCUUGCUCCUGGUGGCGAGUGGCGAACGGGUGAGUAAUACAUCGGAACGUACCCUGAAGUGGGGGAUAACGUAGCGAAAGUUACGCUAAUACCGCAUAUUCUGUGAGCAGGAAAGAGGGGGAUCGCAAGACCUCUUGCUUUAGGAGCGGCCGAUGUCGGAUUAGCUAGUUGGUGAGGUAAAGGCUCACCAAGGCGACGAUCCGUAGCGGGUCUGAGAGGAUGAUCCGCCACACUGGGACUGAGACACGGCCCAGACUCCUACGGGAGGCAGCAGUGGGGAAUUUUGGACAAUGGGCGGCAAAGCCUGAUCCAGCCAUGCCGCGUGAGUGAAGAAAGGCCUCGUG